GUGUCAGCCGCCGCGGUAAGACGAACCGUCCAAACGUUAUUCGGAAUCACUGGGCUUAAAGGGCGCGUAGGCGGCCGAGCGGGUCACGGGUGAAAUCCUCCAGCUUAACUGGAGAACUGCCCUUGAUACCACUGCGGCUCGAGGAAGGAAGGGGCAAUCGGAACUGUCGGUGGAGCGGUGAAAUGCGUUGAUAUCGACAGGAACGCCGGUGGCGAAAGCGGAUUGCUGGUCCUUUUCUGACGCUGAGGCGCGAAAGCCAGGGGAGCAAACGGGAUUAGAUACCCCAGUAGUCC
rnacentral:rRNA from 1 species